CCCAGAAACAGUUGAAGAACAGGUCCAAAUCCAGCCUACUGGGGGGGGGCAGCCUCCCCUUGCCUCAUCCCUCUCCUUCUCUGUGACACAUCUCUAACCUAUUAUCUAUUUUGCCUCACAGGAAUCCCUUCCAGGUGGGCUGGACCUGGACAAAGUCUAGGAGGGCUCAGAAGGUUCUGAGACGCACUUGUCCUCCACAGAGGAGCUGAAGUGACGACGGCUUGGCUCUGCAGGAAUAUCGGGCCAUGAGCCUUCCAUCUGCUCAUUAUUUAUGCAUACAGUCAAUUGCCUUUCCACAUUUACUUUAAAGCAAACACUGAGUUGGUGAGUAAUUAGAGAAACACACAGGGUGAUGGUUCUGUACUUACCAAACUGAAUGUGUAUUCUUCACAAUAAAGCUAUUCUGUUGAGUG